ACGAACGUUGGCGGCGUGCUUAAUACAUGCACGUCAACUGAAGCAGUGGUAGCAAUAUCGCUGUGGAGGUGGCGCACGGGUGAGUAACACGUAGGUAAUCUGCCUUCAGGUCUGGCAUAACUCCGGGAAACCGGGGCUAAUAGCAGAUGAUGCAGCGGCUCGACAUCGAGACAGUUGUUAAAGCUAUGGCGCCUGAAGAUGAGCCUGCGUCUGAUUAGCUAGUUGGCGGGGUAACGGCCCACCAAGGCAACGAUCAGUAGCUGGUCUGAGAGGAUGAUCAGCCACAAUGGAACUGAGACACGGUCCAGACUCCUACGGGAGGCAGCAGUAAGGAAUAUUGCUCAAUGGGAGAAAUCCUGAAGCAGCACCGCCGCGUGAGGGACGAAGGGCUUUUGCUUGUAAACCUCUGUAGUGAGAGAAAAAAAUCCCAAUCUUUGGGACAUGAUGGUAUCUCAAAAGUAAGCCCCGGCUAACUACGUG
rnacentral:rRNA from 1 species